CCUACGGGAGGCAGCAGUGAGGAAUAUUGGUCAAUGGACGCAAGUCUGAACCAGCCAAGUAGCGUGCAGGAUGACGGCCCUAUGAGUUGUAAACUUCUUUUGUAAGGGGGUAAAAUGAGGCACGCGUACCUUUUUGCAAGUACUUUAUGAAUAAGGAUCGGCUAACUCCGUGCCAGCAGCCGCGGUAAUACGGAGGAUUCGAGCGUUAUCCGGAUUUAUUGGGUUUAAAGGGUGCGUAGGGGGGCGGCUAAGUUAGUUGUGAAAUUCUGAGGCUCAACCUCGGAAUUGCAUUUGAUACUGGUCGGCUAGAGAGUAGUUGAGGUAGGCGGAAUGCGUGGUGUAGCGGUGAAAUGCUUAGAUAUCACGCAGAACUCCGAUUGCGAAGGCAGCUUACCAAGCUGCUACUGACGUUGAGGCACGAAAGCGUGGGGAGCAAACAGGAUUAGAUACCCGUGUAGUC
rnacentral:rRNA from 1 species